UGCUCCCUCCCUCCCUCGAACCCUAGCUACCCCUCGUCUCCCCGCCUCCAGCCGCACCCGCCGCCGCACCCCAAUCCCCAGUCUGGCUCUCCACCUCACGACGAUGUGGUUCUCCCGGCGAUGACCCCCCUCCUCAUGCCCUCUCCGACGUCCCUCUUCGCACGAUACUCGCCCCUGCGUGCACGACUUCCCCCUCCUCCUCCCGCGCCGUUCGCCGCCCCGCAAACUCCGGCAGCCAUUAUCCGCCCUUCGCCGCGGGAGCCUCCGUAGGAGCCGCUCGCUGCUGGAGCCGCCGCCCGAGCAGCCGCGGGAGCCGCUCGCCGCUGCAGCCGCCGCCCGCGGGAGCCACUCGCCGCUCGCCGCAGGAGCCGGAAGGCGAGAAGGAUCGGCGGAUCCAGGCCCCGGCGUGGUCCUCUCCCUUCAACUCGCGCCGCCGACCUGGGCUCCCUCUUCUUCCACGGCCACAGCCUGGGGUUGCUGCCGGCUAGACGAAUAAUUAUGUGCAGGCUGCCACGACAAAGGGUUUGACUCCUACAUCAAUUUCAUCAAGGCUGCUGUUCUUGACACUCCUGAUGUUGUUUUUCAGAGCAAUGCCACGCUAAGUUACUCGCUCAAAGGGUGACAACCUGCUAUGGGGUGGUUCUCUUAUUAAACAUGUGAGUAAUAUAACCUGCUAUGGGAUGGUUCUCUUUAUUCCAUACUGCCUAAACUGACCACUGUUUGCAAGCUUUAGUGCUUAUCUACUAUACCACUAUAAAAGUACGAAAAGGCGAAGAAUCAAAUCAUUAUAUCCAUCCAAAUCUGCAAUCUAAUGAUUUACAUCCUUUCAAAACACCAAAUGCAUUUUAU